rnacentral:rRNA from 1 species
UAAUACAGAGGGUGCGAGCGUUAAUCGGAAUUACUGGGCGUAAAGGGUGCGUAGGUGGUUAUAUAAGUUAGGUGUGAAAGUCCCGGGCUUAACCUGGGGAUUGCGCCUGAUACUGUGUAGCUAGAGUGCUGUAGAGGAAAGUGGAAUUUCCGGUGUAGCGGUGAAAUGCGUAGAUAUCGGAAGGAACAUCGGUGGCGAAGGCGACUUUCUGGACAGACACUGACACUGAGGCACGAAAGCAUGGGGAGCAAACAGGAUUAGAUACCCUGGUAGUCCAUGCUGUAAACGAUGAAGACUGGCUGUUGGGCACCUACGGGUGCUUAGUAGCGAAGCUAACGCGUUAAGUCUUCCGCCUGGGGAGUACGGCCGCAAGGUUA